UGAUGCCAUCCAGGAUAUAAGUGGGAUGACACCAGGUUCCGCAGGACAGCCAGCCCUUCCUCCUGCUCGGAGGAUAUACCUGUUAUCUUGUCCUGGUACCUUCUCUCACAGGCCCACUCUGGGCCCUCCUGGGAGAGGAGGAGAGGCCGUUCUGCUGCCUGCUGUCGCCUGGGCUGGCCAUGAAGCGCUGGCAGAUCUUGGUCCUGUGGGUCUUUUGGGUGCUUAUCUUGUGGCUGAUGGCCCCGUACCUGGAACUGCCACUGGAAUCAACCCUCCAGAAGGAAUGGACAGACCUGGCACCAUGGAGUUGCUGCUGUUCUUGCUUCAGAUUUGGGAAGUGUGGCUGCCCUUCUGGGACCUUCAACUGCUCCUCCGGUCACCGCACAGCUGGGCAAUGGAGCUGGUUUGAUACUUGCUAAUGGAAGACCGUAGGGUACCUGAGGAGGACAAAAGAACAUAUGACCUGUGA